GAGCGGGCUGUUCGCCGUGAAAGGUGGCAUGCGAAAGAUGGAGAUCGCUUUUGCUGUGUGCAUUUCGCGCCGGAGUGCUUCGACCGCACCGGACAGACAACACGACUGCGUGCGGGUGAAAAGGAAGCGUCCAGGCCGCAAGCAUGAAGACUGGUUCCAGAAAGUGGAGGACCACAACCUUGAUCUUGAUCCACUUGAUAACCAUAUUUAUAUUUUGUGCAAAAAAAUCGCUGAAGAAUAUAUAAAAGUGAGAAUACACCACAUGACGAAAGAACGAAACUGUGAACUUAUCAAAAACAAAGCGAGACCACUUUUGUCGAGGGUGAUUAUUUUCAAUCACCAGUAGGGUGUUUGUCAUGGUGUUCUUGACUGUAUGUGAGACUUUCUCCUUAAUAUCUGCUCAUUUGAACUCCCUUCUGCGUAUCAGUUGGCUGCUGGUUGAUGGUAAAUAAACGACUACAACUAGAA